rnacentral:lncRNA from 1 species
GUGUUAACCCCUACAAAAUAUUCAGUUUUUCGAUAAAUGGUUAAUAUACUGAAGCCUAUAAUAUUUAGUGUUUUAAAAUUUCUAACCACAUUCUACGUUUGUAUUAAUGUAUUCUAAACUCUCUUUCAUGGUACAUGGGCAUCGUUCUAUUUUUUUUAUCAGUUAAUUUAGUAAAACUUCAUAUGCUCCAUAAAUCAAUGGACAGAACCACAAUAAAAUCUCUAUUCUAGAGAAACGGAGAC